GUGAUUUUUUUUUGUGACUCAAUCUGAAUGUGUGUGUGUGGGUGUAGGUGUGUGCGUGUGUGUGUGUGCCAGACCCAGUCAAGUAGCCUCCCUCAGUCUGUACGCAUUCCUUUUACUCUCUCCCUGCAUGAAGCUACUCUCCUUUCCUUCCCUCCUAUGUUUUUAUUUUUACGCGUGUGUGUGUUUGCGAGUGUGUUCCCAUCAGUGUAUGUGUGUGUUUAGGUAAUGGUAGACUAAGCCGAGCAGUUUUGUUGCCCCAGCGUGGCCCGGUGAUUCACCUUUUCUCCUCCAGGUUUCCACCUGGUCACUGGAGCGAUGCACUGAUACGACCUGACACCUGUCUGCUUGGAUGGCCAGCAACAGGCCUCACACACACACACACACACACACACACAGACACACGCGCACACACACCUACCUACCUACACAUGCACUCUAUGCAUCCAUGCAUAAACAUGCGCUCACUCUCGAGCCCUCAAUUGCCCACAAACAGAUGAAGGUGCAUUCCAGCUCCUGCACAAGAUUGAAGAUGAAGAAGGCCCUCAAGCCACUUUGUGAACCUCUAGCCACUCCGGUGUCAGAGGUGGAUCUGCCAUCUGGAGUUGGGAGUCGACCUGUCCACCAAGGGUGAGUUCAGCAACAUCCCCUCCGAACGUCCCAUGACGCUUGGCAGUGCUGAUGUAGACGAAAAGCUGCCUCGAUGCAGCAACUGGCUGAUUUCGGAGCGCAGACUGCCGACGAGUUGACCCUAACAGAGGAACGUGGAGGACCAGCAGACCAAAACUGCAAACAAAAAAGAUUGGAAAUGGAUUGGCAAAUGAAGUCACAACUGUCCCUUGUGGGCAGAAUAUCACAAAUUAAAUUAUGUGGUUGCGCUGGAGCUGACAGAGCAAUGUACAUGUUGCCCGUCAACACACAGCACCAGAAUGUUUUUCCAUACAGUAACUGGCAUUUUACUGUAUUAUCCUGCCCUUCGGUGUUGUUGUAAAUAUUGGAAAUAUAAGUUAAAUGCACAUGAACAAUGCAUGAGCGACUGGGAAUAUGUCAUCUUCGAUUUGCUUAGAUAGUGCCCUGCAUACAUGAAAUAAUAAACUAGCAACGCUUUGGUACAAAUAUGAUAAUGUAAAUAUAACAUCUUCUAAACACGUUUUAGAUAAAGGCAUUCCAUGUAAAUAUUGCAAAUGAGCAAUAAUGAGCUAUUGUAUCCAGUACAAACAAAGCUCAUUAUUUUGCAACUGAUAAUAACUAAUAAUAAAAUGGAUAUUUCAGUUACUGCUGCACAAUGCAUGAAAGUCUAUGGUGGUCCAGUCACUCCUAUUGUAUUUUUACAGCGAAUAUAAAUAAUUCCAACUAAAGAUACAAAUUGAAGCCUGCUUUCCCCUUAGAAAAUGUAAAUACUUGAAUAUAAAGGCAUCCAAAAAUAAAGCCCACCAGCAUCAAGGUGCACAGCAAUUCUUGCAGAGAUGCAUCUCUGGUUUUUAGAAUUAACACAUACCAGCAACUACCAUUGUACCCAGCUUGUGACUGGCUGCCAGUCCCUGUUGACUGAUCCCACUCAUUAAGCAUUUCACUGAGACAUACAUCGAUGGAUCGCAGUGGCUGCUGCCAGAGCUAAUCAGCAUGAAGGAAGAGGUUAGCGAGUUUUAAUGCCAACAGCCAAAAAUAUUGGAAAUGUUUCCUUAAGUUUUAAAUGCCAAAAUGGCUGAAUAACAUUCUCUGUCUUGACCUCCCAACGUAACAGCAAAAAGUAAAUCUUUCUGUUUUUACAGCUAUUAAGAAUAUUAAAGAAAACAUUUUUAUUCACUGCUCAUGGUCACUGGCUUCAGUCGAAAAGUUCUUUGCUUCAUGGUUAUAUGAAAG
ensembl:lncRNA